rnacentral:lncRNA from 1 species
CUCUGUGACGUCACAACCCCCAGCCCGUAUGGAAGUAGGCUGGCAGUAGCCCCCAGCAUGGGGGUGGGGGGAUUUAUGGACAUAACUUGUGUAUAAUAUUAAAGUACAUGCAAUUAGAACUUUAACAACAAGUGAACACAUGUACCAGCUUGGGGACCAUCCCUGAGGAAAAGAACAAAAUCUUGUUAUAGUUACUCCUCUCUGUCAAGUCUUCACUCAGACGUGGAAGGCAAUUGCUGGAAGAACCUUUGUGGACUUCUGUCUCAUAAGCAGGAUACAGAAAGUGAGCAAAGGACUCACUACCCACUGGUAAGCAAAAAUCCACCUUUACAGGAAUGAAAGAAUACGUAAAGAUGCAAUCCAGCACAAUCCAUAGUGAGGUAAGAAUAGAAAGAAGAAAACAUUUUCAUAAUGAAUUAUCACCAUAUUAGCUUGCAAAUAUAUUUUUCUAAAAUAAAACUGAGUUGAUUCUCUUUUCCUUAGGUCUC